CUGGCGCCGCUUCCUACAGGCCACGCCCACAACAAGCUCUCGCGCUCCCAGGCCACGCCCCCGGUGCCCCUUGCGCUCCCUGGCCCCGCCCCUCGAGGCCCCCUCAGGGCUGCGAGCCCGGUGUCUGUGCGGUGGGGGCGCCUGCGUGCCCUGCAGGGCUGAGGGCCUGUUGCGGGGCGGCUGCCUGGCGCCUCUGCAAGGUCUUCCUCCCUCCCUGCAGCUCCGAUCCGCUGCCGGGGAGGGAAACGACCCCGACAGAAACCCGAUUGGAAGCGGGAAGGUUACGCCUCGGAAACAUCUGCCUCCCCCAGCUCGACCAUGCUUCCCCCACCCAGUGAGGCUGAGCUGCGGCUUUCAGUCUGAGCCCCUGCGGCCCGCAGAGGCUGCUGCUGGGCUGGGCCCGGGCGGCACUAGGCUCGCACCUCGGCCCGUCCCCCACAGGAGGGGCCUCGGUUUUCUUCUCUGCACGUUUGCGUUUGGGGGAGCCUCCUGCCUCCACUCACUGCCACGGAGGGACUGGGCCAGGCCCUUGAUUCAUUUGGACCGGUCCAAAGUCUGCACUCCUACUUUGGCCCCUUGCCUCUCAGACCUUCUGAGAGCUGACCCCUUGGGAGAUGAAAGUCUAGGCUCUGCCAGCAGCCUUCAAAAUCAGUCCGAGGCCAGGCAAACUUUGCAGCACUCGUUUGCAGAGCUGGGGAUCCCUCCACAGAUGUGGGAAACAAGGAAAUCCAGAGAAGCAAAAUCGGGACAAUUUAGGAAGAGAGCUGGUGUUAAAGCUGAGGGCCCAUUCUCCACACAGAAGCAAGGAGCGGUUGCUGUUUGUGAAAGCAAAACAUAACAACAAUAUCCAGAUACAAAACAAGAUGGAUUCUGCACGUCCAGUUGUCUUGUUUAAGAUGCAAGCAGUAGGAGAUUGUCAUUUUCACCAUUGAAAUGUGGAGCACUGUUUUGAACCUUUGUGGGGGACUUACCAUGGGUGGGAGCUAUUGCAAUCUAUUUUAUUACUCAUUUAACCCUUAGCUCGCCAUCUGCAUCACCCUACUAUGCCCACUUAACAACACUGCAAUGGAGGCAUAGAGUGAUUUGCAUGAGAUCAAAGGGGAAGUCAGGGAAUAGCAGAUGUUGGAUUUUGAAUUCCUGAAACACAGUGGCCCCAGAACCCUGCAUUUCAACCCCUUUCAUUCCACCUUCUAACACUCUUUGGCAGUUGGGUGAGUCAGAUCCUGGCCCGUCCGUCUACCCAUGCUCAAGGUUCUCUCUGACUAUUUAAAGCUACAUUAAAAAAAAAAAAAAAAACUCCCUGAAGGAGGUAGUCAAAAUAAAUAGAAUUUCUGAGAUUCA
rnacentral:lncRNA from 1 species